UACGUAGGGGCAAGCGUUGUCCGGAUUUAUUGGGCGUAAAGAGCGUGUAGGCGGUUUUACAGGUCCGCUGUGAAAACUCGAGGCUCAACCUCGAGCUGUCGGUGGAAACCGUAAGGCUAGAGUCCGGAAGAGGAGAGUGGAAUUCCUGGUGUAGCGGUGAAAUGCGCAGAUAUCAGGAAGAACACCCGUGGCGAAGGCGGCUCUCUGGGACGGUAC
rnacentral:rRNA from 1 species